GUAGGUGGCAAGCGUUGUCCGGAAUUAUUGGGCGUAAAGCGCGCGCAGGUGGGUUCUUUAAGUCUGAUGUGAAAGCCCCCGGGCUCAACCGGGGAGGGUCAUUGGAAACUGGGGAACUUGAGUGCAGGAGAGGAAAGUGGAAUUCCACGUGUAGCGGUGAAAUGCGUAGAUAUGUGGAGGAACACCAGUGGCGAAGGCGACUUUCUGGCCUGUAACUGACACUGAGGCGCGAAAGCGUAGGGAGCAAACAGGAUUAGAUACCCUGGUAGUCCACGCCGUAAACGAUGAGUGCUAAGUGUUGGGGGGUUUCCGCCCCUCAGUGCUGCAGCUAACGCAUUAAGCACUCCGCCUGGGGAGUACGGUCGCAAGACUG
rnacentral:rRNA from 1 species